rnacentral:rRNA from 1 species
GACGAACGCUGGCGGCGUGCUUAACACAUGCAAGUCGAACGGAAAGGCCUUGUUUUUGUGGGGUGCUCGAGUGGCGAGAGGGUGAGUAACACGAGAGUAACCUGCCUUUGCCGUUGGGAAAACGUCAGGAAACUGGGGCUAAUACCGGAUAGGCGCUACAGCUGUGUGGUGGGGGUUGGAAAGUUUCGGCGGGUGGGGAUGGAGUCGGGGAUAAUCAGGUUGGUGGUGGGGUAGUGGCUGACGAAGGCUUUGACGGGUAGCCGGCCUGGGAGGGGGGCCGGCCACAUGGGGACUGAGAGACGGCGCAGUCGCCGACGGGAGGCAUGGGUGGGGAGUAUUACCCAAUGGGCGGGAGCCUGAGGCGGAGACGCCGGGUGCGGGAUGUCGGCCUCCGGGUUGCAAACCGCUUUCGCCUUGGACGGAGGGGUAGUGACGGUAAUGGAAGAAGAAGCACCGGCUAACUACGUG